rnacentral:rRNA from 1 species
AUUGAACGCUGGCGGCAUGCCUUACACAUGCAAGUCGAACGGUAACGGGCCUUCGGGUGCCGACGAGUGGCGAACGGGUGAGUAAUGCAUCGGAACGUACCUUUCAGUGGGGGAUAACGUAGCGAAAGUUACGCUAAUACCGCAUAUUCUGUGCGCAGGAAAGCAGGGGAUCGCAAGACCUUGCGCUGAUUGAGCUGCCGAUGUCAGAUUAGCUAGUUGGUGAGGUAAAGGCUCACCAAGGCGACGAUCUGUAGCGGGUCUGAGAGGAUGAUCCGCCACACUGGAACUGAGACACGGUCCAGACUCCUACGGGAGGCAGCAGUGGGGAAUUUUGGACAAUGGGGGCAACCCUGAUCCAGCCAUGCCGCGUGAGUGAAGAAGGCCUUCGGGUUGUAAAGCUCUUUCGGCCGGGAAGAAAUCGCAUGGGUUAAUACCCUGUGCGGAUGACGGUACCGGCAUAAGAAGCACCGGCUAACUACGUGCCAGCCGCCGCGGUAAUAC